GACACGGCCCAAACUCCUACGGGAGGCAGCAGUAGGGAAUUUUCGUCAAUGGGGGGAACCCUGAACGAGCAAUGCCGCGUGAGUGAAGAAGGUCUUCGGAUCGUAAAGCUCUGUUGUAAGAGAAAAACGGACUCCAUAGGGAAUGAUGGAGGAGUGAUGGUAUCUUACCAGAAAGCCACGGCUAACUACGUGCCAGCAGCCGCGGUAAUACGUAGGUGGCGAGCGUUAUCCGGAAUCAUUGGGCGUAAAGGGUGCGUAGGUGGCACGAUAAGUCUGUAGUAAAAGGCAGCGGCUCAACCGCUGUUGGCUAUGGAAACUGUCGAGCUGGAGUGCAGAAGAGGGCGAUGGAAUUCCAUGUGUAGCGGUAAAAUGCGUAGAUAUAUGGAGGAACACCAGUGGCGAAGGCGGCCGCCUGGUCUGCAACUGACACUGAAGCACGAAAGCGUGGGGAGCAAAUAGGAUUAGAUACCCUAGUAGUCCACGCCGUAAACGAUGAGAACUAAGUGUUGGGGAAACUCAGUGCUGCAGUUAACGCAAUAAGUUCUCCGCCUGGGGAGUAUGCACGCAAGUGUGAAACUCAAAGGAAUUGACGGGGGCCCGCACAAGCGGUGGAGUAUGUGGUUUAAUUCGAAGCAACGCGAAGAACCUUACCAGGCCUUGACAUGGAGAUAAAGGCCCUGGAGACAGGGAGAUAGAUAUAUCUCACACAGGUGGUGCAUGGUUGUCGUCAGCUCGUGUCGUGAGAUGUUGGGUUAAGUCCCGCAACGAGCGCAACCCUUGUCGCAUGUUACCAGCAUCAAGUUGGGGACUCAUGCGAGACUGCCGGUGACAAACCGGAGGAAGGUGGGGAUGACGUCAAAUCAUCAUGCCCCUUAUGGCCUGGGCUACACACGUACUACAAUGGCGGUUACAAAGGGCAGCGACCCUGUGAGGGGGAGCGAAUCCCGGAAAGACCGUCUCAGUUCGGAUUGAAGUCUGCAACCCGACUUCAUGAAGCUGGAAUCGCUAGUAAUCGCGAAUCAGCAUGUCGCGGUGAAUACGUUCUCGGGCCUUGUACACACCGCCCGUCAAACCAUGGGAGUUGGCAAUACCCGAAGCCGGUGGCAUAACCAAAUGGAGUGAGCCGUCGAAGGUAGGGCCGAUGACUGGGGUUAAGUCGUAACAAGGUAUCCCUACGGGAACGUGGGGAUG
rnacentral:rRNA from 1 species